UCGGGAAUUUUGGGCAAUGGGCGAAAGCCUGACCCAGCAACGCCGCGUGAAGGAUGAAGUAUUUCGGUAUGUAAACUUCGUAAGAAUAGGAAGAAUAAAUGACGGUACUAUUUGUAAGGUCCGGCUAACUACGUGCCAGCAGCCGCGGUAAUACGUAGGGACCAAGCGUUGUUCGGAUUUACUGGGCGUAAAGGGCGCGUAGGCGGUGUGUCAAGUCAGUUGUGAAAUCUCCGAGCUUAACUCGGAACGGUCAACUGAUACUGUCACACUAGAGUACAGAAGGGGCAAUCGGAAUUCUUGGUGUAGCGGUGAAAUGCGUAGAUAUCAAGAGGAACACCUGAGGUGAAGACGGGUUGCUGGGCUGACACUGACGCUGAGGCGCGAAAGCCAGGGGAGCAAACGGGAUUAGAUACCCUUGUAGUCCCUGAGCGGGCUGGCAAGGCGCAU
rnacentral:rRNA from 1 species